UACGUAGGGCGCAAGCGUUGUCCGGAAUUAUUGGGCGUAAAGAGCUCGUAGGUGGUCUGUUACGUCUGCUGUGAAAACCCAGGGCUUAACCCUGGGCCUGCAGUGGAUACGGGCAGACUAGAGGUAGGUAGGGGAGAAUGGAAUUCCCGGUGUAGCGGUGAAAUGCGCAGAUAUCGGGAGGAACACCGGUGGCGAAGGCGGUUCUCUGGGCCUUACCUGACACUGAGGAGCGAAAGCGUGGGGAGCAAACAGG
rnacentral:rRNA from 1 species